GUAUCUGAGCAGUUUGGGGUUUAUUUGCCAAGGGAGGCCGUGGAAUGUUAUGGUGUUUUUGUCCCAAUAUUUGGAGGCAGUGCCCUGGAUUAGUUGAUUUCUGCCUGGCUCCCUGAUGUCUGAGUUCUGAGGUGUACCAAGAACUGGUAGUUUUUGCAGUGGGAUGUACCCUAGAAACUGCCUGGAGCUGAGCCAAGGAACUGAAAGGGACUGAGCAAGCAAAGUACAGAAAGAAUGAAGAAGGGAACUGAGGCAGCAGCCAAGCAGCACCGAGCUCCUCUACAACCAGGGAAUAACUCCUGUCAGCAGCAAGGGCCCGACUGAAGUGGCAGCUGCAGUUGUUCCUGUGGUGUGGGCCAGUGGAAUUCCAAGAAAAUGGACAAGGGCAGAACCUGUAAGAAUUACCCCUAAGCCUGAGUCUCUCCUGUGUCCCAGUGUCCCUGCUUGGCUGUUUGUUGCCCUGCAGGCAGAAGAGCCCAGGCCUGAGCUGGCUGAGUGUUGGUGUGACCCACAGUGGGUGUCCCCUGCCCUCGGGACAGUCCCCAGAGCUCCCUUUGGCAUCCCCUGGUGAAGGGUGGGAGCUGCCCAGAGCCAGCAGCAUCCAGCUGGAGGAUCCCGGAGGAU